rnacentral:rRNA from 1 species
CGGGGUGGAGGUGGGCGCGAUUUUUAACGGUUCGAAAGGCUUACCUCCACUGGCAGCCCAUUGGGCAGCAGGCAGGCGGAGGCGGUACUCGGGCACUAAGGAUCGUUCAAGUGGCCCCGAGGCCUAAACCAAGUCUAAACGCCCGCACAAGGGCACCCCCUUGACUACCACCCAAUGUACCUCACCAGCGUGCUGACCGACGACACCCUGCGGAAGAACCUUACGCCUCCCUAGGCCUCCGGCGGCUAAUCUAUCGCCGGCCCCUCCUCCCUCCUCGCCUCCUGGUCCUCCUCCUCCUCCGGCGGUAAUCGUGGGUGGGACGGACGGUGGGUGGUGGGGCUGCGGGCUGAGCGGUGAGUGGACGGCCUGCCGGUACCCCCUCCUGGAGCAGUGGUGGGACAGGUACCUCUUGCCGCCGCCGCCUCCGGUGGUGUCGGAGACGUGGGACGAGAGGUACCUGGGGAGGCCGGUGGAGCUGCUGGCGCGGCAGCCGCAGUACCACGUCGGGGCGCAGCCUCCCCCGGCGCGGGUGCGGCACAGGGACAGGCCGCGGGGCGGCGGGCUGUAGUUGGUCGGCACCGUCUGCCUCGGGACGCUGUACGAGCCGCAGCCGGAGCCCGGCGUCCACAAGCUGCGGCUCCGGCACGAGUCGCGGCGAGGGUUCCGACGGCGGCGGCCCUCGGCGUUCUGGUGGUUCGCGCCCCUGUCGUAGACCCCGCGGACCAAGAAGAAGUGGAAGAUGAAGUUCGGGGACGACAGCCUGUUCCGGUUCUCGUUCCAGCAGGCCCUGCGGUUGCCGCACAGCCCCAAGCUGUUCAGCCUGGAGGCCGAGCUGUACAAGGACCACGUCGUGCUGUACCUCUUGUACAUGUACACCCACAAGUUCCUCUCCGGCCUGUUGCGGGAGCCGUUCUACGUCGACUCCUCGAUGUACUUACCCGUGAGCGCGGGGCCGCUCGGCGUAAAGGGAAAGUCGCAGCUGUCCCCUAAACAGGCCAGCGUGGCCUACGUCGCGUUCGUGAUAGCCCCGGAGAGGUUAGGCGUCACGUAGGUACCCUAGCUCCACCACUCAAGCGGCUUAGAGCACCCGUAGUGGCUACACCUGGCCUCCUCCACCCGCCUCGAGUGUCCCUCCCUCGAGUUAAAGAGGUAGGGCGUCCUCCGGUCACUAAAACCCUGUACCUCCUGGUACGGUUCGAGUCUCGAACUCGACCUCUCCGGUGUGUGUGUGUGACGGUACUUCUCGUUAUGAUUAUUACAAGUCGUCGUCGGGGGGUUCUUCUGCGAAUUACCUAGUCCGAACUUAGACAGUAGUGGUAGGUUAGUAAGUCCUCUCCUGCCGUACCUAGAUAGGGGACAGUCGUCGUUCGCUUCCUUCCUCCGUAAAGGUGUACGGUACCUACUCCUCACGAAGAACGGAGACUUGGGAACGUGGCCCUCCUGUGUUGUUCUAUAGCUCUACGUCAGUCAUCACGCCGGAAGCACCUACGUGCUCAAGUGGCCCCACUACUCCUUCCGGAGACCCGGCCGUUGACGACGGUUCAGGUAAAUGCUCCUACUAGUCCCGAUGAACUAUUACCAGUCGAAUGGUAAACAACUAGUCGUCUCCCAUUUCCAAAGUACCUUCUUGUUAGGGUGAGUACCGUAUCAAUUUUAGAAGACACAAUCAUGUCGGGCCUACGGUAUGUAUUCCUCUGUACUAUCCCAGAAGUUCGAAUGACUACGAUACGGGCUCGUGACGGGAGGACCCCUCAAGUAGGCACUUUAUGGAGAUCGGUGGGCAUAGGGGCUUCUGCGGUUCGAACUCCGUACGAAACUACUCCGGCGACGUCAAGAACUCUAGUACCAGGGGUUUGCCCCCUUGCUCGGCCUUCUUGUACUUCAGUCCCAGAGGUACGCGGGAGGAGUGGAACCUCACUUGCUGGACGAAUACUGUAUCCAUUACCCUCCAGAUAGAAAGAACAGACACUAGUGGUCUAGCAUACGACCUUCCCCGAUGACAAUCGCAGAACAAGGCUCUGACAACGACAACGAAUGACCCGAUCCGGAGAAGUCGUUGUUCGAAAACGACUUCUAAUCAAGCAAGAUUCGAACAUACACUGCCCACAGAAAAAUUGGGAGCACAAGAGAAGAGGAUCGUCGUAUAACACCCACCGGACAAACAGGAACUUAGACAUGGUUCAAGUCAAUUGUCUUAUUUUAAAUAUAAACCACCCAAUGACGAGUUAAAAACAUAGAUCUAAUAUAUAAAGAAGACAAUCAUGGUCAGACCAUGAACGGUUUAAAUGUUACAAGAAACGGCAAUUC